rnacentral:rRNA from 1 species
AGUGAACGCUGGCGGUAGGCCUAACACAUGCAAGUCGAACGGCAGCACAGUAAGAGCUUGCUCUUACGGGUGGCGAGUGGCGGACGGGUGAGGAAUACAUCGGAAUCUACUUUUUCGUGGGGGAUAACGUAGGGAAACUUACGCUAAUACCGCAUACGACCUACGGGUGAAAGCAGGGGAUCUUCGGACCUUGCGCGAUUGAAUGAGCCGAUGUCGGAUUAGCUAGUUGGCGGGGUAAAGGCCCACCAAGGCGACGAUCCGUAGCUGGUCUGAGAGGAUGAUCAGCCACACUGGAACUGAGACACGGUCCAGACUCCUACGGGAGGCAGCAGUGGGGAAUAUUGGACAAUGGGCGCAAGCCUGAUCCAGCCAUACCGCGUGGGUGAAGAGGGCCUUCGGGUUGUAAAGCCCUUUUGUUGGGAAAGAAAAGCAGCAGGUUAAUACCCCGCUGUUCGGACGGUACCCAAAGAAUAAGCACCGGCUAACUUCGU